rnacentral:snoRNA from 1 species
UGCUGUGAUGAAACACACCUUUCUGACACCUCUUGUGCGAGAGCAGCAAGUGCUGCUCGGUGAACGCAUCAUGCACCACUCUGAGCA